AGGUUAGGGCCUCACCGCCCUUCUUCCACCCCUCAGGGAGGCCUCCGUGAUUCGGCCUCAGCCUCCGUCGCUCUGUGACCUGCGGGUAUUGGAUGAUUCGUAGCUGAGACUCCGCUACACCCCUGAAAUGGGGAAAUGACUAUUUAAUCAGCUGACAUAUCAACAGGCCAAAAUUUCCACCACAACUGCAAACUUGAAUGUGAAUGAAUGGAUUACAACAUGUUCAAGCCUUGUAAUGAGAGGCAUUAUAAUGGAAUAACCUAUCUACUAAUGGUCAGCACCUGUGUCUUUGUGUCUGAGGCCAGGGAUAAAUUCAUCAACUGGGUAGCCACCACUAUAGAAGAAGCCAACCACAAUCAAUGUCAGCUAUGUGUCGAGUUGCCAGAGGCCGCCAGGAAUGAGCUACCUUGAAGAAUCGUCCCUGACAACAUUUCUGAAUGGCUGUGUCACUACCAAUGGGGCCACAACACCACCACUUGCAAUCCAACCUGGACUUCCUAUGACCAAACCAAGCAAUCUAUUUAUGCCCAUGUCAGGUGAAAGGUGAACUCCACCCUCAGCGUGCAUCAGAAGCCUUGGUAUCCUGCCCAAUAUGCCUGGAACGGUAUAUAUUGGGAACCUGCUGUGCUGGUGGCCGGAUUCCAUAUAGCCCCCCCGCCACUUUGUCUGGAGGCCUUAAAUGGCUCCUCUAAUGUUACUCUGGGUUUCUCCCACCAGACAAUUGUCAACACAUACUCCAAAUCAACAAC
rnacentral:antisense_RNA from 1 species